AACGAACGCUGGCGGCAUGCCUAACACAUGCAAGUCGAACGAUCCCUCCGGGGGUAGUGGCGCACGGGUGCGUAACGCGUGGGAACCUGCCCUUAGGUUCGGAAUAACUCAGAGAAAUUUGAGCUAAUACCGGAUAAUGUCUUCGGACCAAAGAUUUAUCGCCUUUGGAUGGGCCCGCGUUGGAUUAGCUAGUUGGUGGGGUAAAGGCCUACCAAGGCGACGAUCCAUAGCUGGUCUGAGAGGAUGAUCAGCCACACUGGGACUGAGACACGGCCCAGACUCCUACGGGAGGCAGGAGUGGGGAAUAUUGGACAAUGGGCGAAAGCCUGAUCCAGCAAUGCCGGGUGAGUGAUGAAGGCCUUAGGGUUGUAAAGCUCUUUUACCCGGGAUGAUAAUGACAGUACCGGGAGAAUAAGCCCCGGCUAACUCCGUG
rnacentral:rRNA from 1 species